GUGAAAAUGAAAAUGAAAAAAUUUCAACAAUUCUUACAGGGGAUCGCCAACCACAGAGAAGGUACCAGAAAGCCAGGCUGGACUGGAAGGGAAGAAUGUAUACUCUAGGUGCACGUAAGUCGCCACAUUGAUUUAUUCAUCAGUAUGCAUGGAAAGCCACCGCAAGCUUGGUGCCGUGCCAGGUGCCUGGCAGGCCCUGGGGAUGCCCGGUGAGCCGGGCACACACACCUCUGCCUUCAGGACGAUGACAGCUUGUCUAGGAGCUGGCCACCAGGCAGACAAUUUGCUGUGGAAGGGGAAGACUCCGAGAGUUAUGGAUCGCCUUCUGGGGUCAAUUUUGAAAGCAAUUUAUGACGAUUCGGCCUCUGGACUCCUGUUCACAGCCGCUUGUGUCAGGUGGAUAAUUCUCCUGGCUUGGUCAUCAAAGCAAGCCCUACACCGACAAGGUGGUUCCUGCGCUGUGCAGAUCUGGGAGCAGAGAGAAAAUGAGCUCUGGCUGGGACAGGGUGCCCUGACAGGGCGGGUUGCCCCGGAAGCUGCCUCUCUGUUCUCCAAUUCUGCAUGAGAGCAGGGGAACAUGCACAGAGUUGAGACAACAAGACUUGAUUCAAAAUAGAAAAGAAGAAGUCAGGAAACUGGGAAACCAAAGCUGCAUAUAGACAGAAAACUAAGACAAGGUAACAAAUAAAAGUGAUAUAAUAGAAAUAAAAUAAGCAAAAUAAAGGGUGAGAAAAAGGCAGAAAAUGAAAUGCAUAGGAGGUUUAGAAUGGAUAAGAUGCAGAGUUGGACAAAAGAGGAGAUAUUGCAAACAAAAUGAGAUGAAGAAUUUAUAUAUAUGUGUGAUCUAUAUUCUUCAUAAUAGAAAAAAAAAGAUUAUAGCCCUCUUGAAUAGUUGCAAUGUAUAUUAGCAUAUUAAAAGCUCUAAAAUGUCCCCCACCCAAAGAAAAAUAAUUCUGCAGCUUCUUGGACCAUAAAACUUACCUCCUCCCUUUUUUCCAUAUAAUAACCUAGAAUCUAGUUCCAUGGAGCACAUGCCAGGGAAAAGCUGCAGUGUAUUUCAAAUCUUCAUAACUGACUUGAAAAGGGUUUGAGUUUCUUAUGUGGUUAGGCCAAUAUAUAAGAAUGGGCCACUUUACCAGUGGUCAAGAUUGGUCUAUUUCCUGGCACCUAUAUUUCAACCUACUUUGUUGCUCUCUAUGUAUUGUGGUAAGGGAAAAUAAUACCUUGCAGUAACAUUUUAUGCAUUUGGGAGUUUUUGAAAAUCUUCAGGGAACAUGAUUUGAGAAUAUCAGGGUCUACUUAUGUGGGUC